rnacentral:rRNA from 1 species
UGGGGAAUAUUGGACAAUGGGGGAAACCCUGAUCCAGCAAUGCCGCGUGAGUGAAGAAGGCCCUAGGGUUGUAAAGCUCUUUUGUUAGGGAAGAUGAUGACGGUACCUAACGAAUAAGUCCCGGCUAACUCCGUGCCAGCAGCCGCGGUAAUACGGAGGGGGCGAGCGUUGUUCGGAAUUACUGGGCGUAAAGGGCGUGUAGGCGGUUGUUUAAGUUAGGCGUGAAAGUCCCGGGCUCAACCUGGGGAUUGCGCUUAAGACUGGACGACUAGAGUGCGGAAGAGGAGAGCAGAAUUUCCAGUGUAGAGGUGAAAUUCGUAGAUAUUGGAAGGAAUACCAGUGGCGAAGGCGGCUCUCUGGUCCGCAACUGACGCUGAGGCGCGAAAGCGUGGGGAGCAAA